rnacentral:rRNA from 1 species
GACGAACCGUGCGAACGUUGUUCGGAAUCACUGGGCUUAAAGGGCGCGUAGGCGGGUCAGCAAGUCCGGGGUGAAAUCUUUCGGCUUAACCGGAAAAGUGCCUUGGAUACUGCUGGUCUUGAGGGAGGUAGGGGUCUGCGGAACUUCUGGUGGAGCGGUGAAAUGCGUUGAUAUCAGAAGGAACGCCGGUGGCGAAAGCGGCGGACUGGACCUCUUCUGACGCUGAGGCGCGAAAGCUAGGGGAGCAAACGGG